GUUAAUCUUUUCCUGUCUUGUGUGUGCUGUGCUCACAAAGGCUUUUUGCUCCCUCGGGGUGAGGUGUGGUUUUGGCCGAAGAUGAGGUGUUUGGUAGCCCUGUGGAUGCUGUGUGGUGUCUGGAAUGGGGCGUGUGUGUUCCCAUCAUGCCCCUUCCCCUCUGCCUGCAGAGCUGAGGACAGACAGGUCUGAGGAGCAGAGCAGGAGCUCUGGGAAGGAGAAGAGCAAUAUGAAGAUGGAGUGUAAGAUGAGGCCAGGUAAGUUCUGUGGAGGGAGACAUGCUGGACAGGGCCUAGGAUUGGGGAGACAAGCAGGUGUGAGCCCCGGGCUCAGAUUUCUAAUUGUAGCUGUGAUGGCAGAAUGGGAGGAGGGUUGAAGCUGAAGCCCUGGUGUGCGGGAGUAGCGAGAAGAGGAGCCUCACCACCAUUGCUUUUUCUUUUCCUCUUGUGUUGUGUUUCAUACCAAGGGAAAAGAAGUCGCGGGGAUGGAGUCCAGCCCUGAGGUGAGAUGGAAAGUGAUCAAGAGCAGUGACAGCGUGAAUCCUGUUGAUGCCGGGCAAGAGCUGCCCAACUGGGACAAGAGUAACCGUCUCUGUCGUUGGAAUGGAGCUUUUAAUUGACAUUUGCUGGAUUCAAAUGGCUGACUUGCAACACCAGUUUUGACAUAGUUCUGCAUAUUUUAUUACGAUUUGACCAGUAUUCAAGGAUUCAAUUCCUUUAUAGGAGGUUUUAGAGGUCAUGCUUAUUUAUUUGAUGUUAUUUUAUCAUUCUGCUGUAGCACACUUUUUUGAUAAAAUGUUGAAAUUA